CAUAUCAAUAAGCGGAGGAAAAGAAACCAACAGGGAUUGCCCUAGUAACGGCGAGUGAAGCGGCAACAGCUCAAAUUUGAAAUCUGGCUCUCGGGCCCGAGUUGUAAUUUGUAGAGGAUACUUUUGAUGCGGUGCCUUCCGAGUUCCCUGGAACGGGACGCCAUAGAGGGUGAGAGCCCCGUCUGGUUGGAUGCCAAAUCUCUGUAAAGUUCCUUCAACGAGUCGAGUAGUUUGGGAAUGCUGCUCUAAAUGGGAGGUAUAUGUCUUCUAAAGCUAAAUACCGGCCAGAGACCGAUAGCGCACAAGUAGAGUGAUCGAAAGAUGAAAAGCACUUUGAAAAGAGAGUUAAAAAGUACGUGAAAUUGUUGAAAGGGAAGCGUUUAUGACCAGACUUGGGCUUGGUUAAUCAUCUGGGGUUCUCCCCAGUGCACUUUUCCAGUCCAGGCCAGCAUCAGUUUUCCCCGGGGGAUAAAGGCGGCGGGAAUGUGGCUCUCUUCGGGGAGUGUUAUAGCCCACCGUGUAAUACCCUGGGGGGGACUGAGGUUCGCGCAUCUGCAAGGAUGCUGRCGUAAUGGUCAUCAACGA
rnacentral:rRNA from 1 species